rnacentral:rRNA from 1 species
GAUGAACGCUGGCGGCGUGCUUAACACAUGCAAGUCGAACGGUGAACGAGGGAGCUUGCUCCCUCCGGAUCAGUGGCGAACGGGUGAGUAACACGUGAGCAAUCUGCCCUGGACUCUGGGAUAAGCGUUGGAAACGACGUCUAAUACCGGAUACGAGGCGUGGGGGCAUCCCCAACGCCUGGAAAGAACUUCGGUCCAGGAUGAGCUCGCGGCCUAUCAGCUAGUUGGUGAGGUAACGGCUCACCAAGGCGACGACGGGUAGCCGGCCUGAGAGGGUGACCGGCCACACUGGGAAUGAGACACGGCCCAGACUCCUACGGGAGGCAGCAGUGGGGAAUAUUGCACAAUGGGCGCAAGCAUGAUGCAGCAACGCCGCGUGAGGGACGACGGCCUUCGGGUUGUAAACCUCUUUUAGCAGGGAAGAAGCGAAAGUGACGGUACCUGCAGAAAAAGCACCGGCUAACUACGUGCCAGCCGCCGCCGUAAAAC